rnacentral:rRNA from 1 species
UACGGGGGGGGUAAGCGUUAUUCGGAAUUACUGGGCGUAAAGGGCGCGUAGGCGGCACGGCAAGUCGGGAGUGAAAUCCCCCGGCUCAACUGGGGAACUGCACAGGAAACUAGCGGGCUUGAGUUCGGGAGAGGGAAGCGGAAUUCCGGGUGUAGCGGUGGAAUGCGUAGAGAUCCGGAAGAACACCGGUGGCGAAGGCAAUCCCCUGGGCCCGCACUGACGCUCAUGCACGAAAGCGUGGGGAGCAAACAGG